AAGUCUCCUGAAGGAACGUUGAAGACGACGACGUUGAUAGGCCGGGUGUGUAAGCGCAGCGAUGCGUUGAGCUAACCGGUACUAAUGAACCGUGAGGCUUAACCUUA
rnacentral:rRNA from 1 species